rnacentral:antisense_RNA from 1 species
GAGAAUUGAUCCAAUGACUGCUGGCGUGUAGAAUGAAUUGCGAUGAAACAUCUCAUCCUACCUGCUCCUCAUUCCCUUUUCUGCCAACGAUUUAUCUUCAGAAGACAAGCAGAUGAGGAGACAAAACCUACUGAUGUGGGUACCCAAGCAGGAACCCCCCUCUUGCACCGGCGACUCACGUGGGAAGAAGAAUUCACUGAGCUGAAAUGGAGUGAGAGCUAAGAUGCUCUCAGAAUAUUCUUAAAAUGACUGUGCUGCAAAGAAGCCUGGGUGAAUAGAAGAAAAUAAAAGGAAUGGUGGAUACAAGUGAAGGUUAAAAUGAGACCCCAUUUAUCGCACCAGCUGUUGGUGAUUUCAGCGCUCCUUUCCAAGCCUCUUGAGAGUUCUGCUCUAACCACACUGCCCCCUAGUGUUCUCUCGCUUUGGUGCAACUGCAGGUUUCUCAUACUUCUGGAGAAAUAGAAAGCACCAGAUGACAGCCACCACACACUUUUGUCCCCAUUGCAAUAGGAUGCUUCUAACAAUCGUAAAAUUAUGAAACACUGAAUUCCUUAAAAGUUGUCCAUUUGUGGAUUUAUCUGAUGGUAACUAUUAAAUAUUUAAAAGUAACUUUAAUGAAUCUACUUAUGAUGAUUGUCUGAGUAAUCUAUUCUCUGAAUUCCACCAAAAAACCAUUUUAUGACCACAGUCAUAACGAACAUAUUUCUAUAGUCCUAAGCUGGCAAGAUAAAUAGAGAACUGUUCAUAAUAUAAACAAUAUA